GGGGUGGGGCGCCAUGGAUGGAGAAGCAUCCACAGGAGGAACGUGGACACCACAAGAACUAUCGAUGCACAUCAACUGCCUUGAACUACUGGCGGGGUCAUUUGCUAUACGCAGCCUAGCAAAAGGACAAUCCAACUGUUGUAUACUGCUAUGAAUGGACAACAUAUCGGCAGUGCGGUACAUCAAUCAUUUGGGGGGUACCCGAUCACGAACACUGGUAAAUCUGACGAAGGAAAUCUUCGAUUACUGCCUCCCGCGCAACAUCACGAUACGCGCAGAACACCUACCAGGGGAGUCGAACCUUAC